UGCUGGUGACUUCGCAAUUGUGCUCUGUGAACCCCGCCAGGACCGGAAGGUAGCAACGGUAACAGAAACAUGAUGUGCCGAAGUAUUGCUAGUGGGG
rfam:Acinetobacter populi strain PBJ7 Contig6, whole genome shotgun sequence.